rnacentral:rRNA from 1 species
CUGAUUUCAACAAUGAACGAGUGGCGAACUGGUGAGUACACGUGGGAAAUCUGUCCCACAAGCAGGGGAUAACACUUGGAAACAGGUGCUAAUACCGUAUAACAACAAAAUCCGCAUGGAUUUUGUUUGAAAGGUGGUUUCGCUAUCACUUCUGGAUGAUCCCGCGGCGUAUUAUUAGUUGGUGAGGUAAAGGCCCACC